UUCUUUCUAGACGGACAAGUGCUUCUGAAGCAGAGCCAAGUAUCUACUACCAAACGGCAAACGAAAACUGCACGGAUUGAGUGUAAAGCCGAGGGCAUAUCUGACUUCCGGUCUGCGUAUAUACAUUGGUACCGACAUAUACCACCCAAAGCUCCCGAACGGAUUCUGUAUAUCGGAUCAGCUCAACCUGUUUAUGAUGACAGUUCCUACAGAAACAAGUUUGGGUCUUCAAAGAAAGACACAGAUGUCUGCACUUUAACUGUCAGGGACAUCGACUCCAGCGAUGAAGGUUUAACCCACACGGGCAACAUGUUGCUGCUCCCAGUCCUUCUUGCAAGUUCUCUGUGGUCCCGUGGAGACACGCAGGCAGUGCCAGUGCAAACCCCAGCGCUCCGGACGCAGGUGAAGGGCAGCCAUGUCACCAUGGACUGCCGGAUGAGAACCAAUGACGUUGUGCACUGGUACAAACAUCUUCCUGGGGAGCCACCAAAGAGGAUACUGUACAUGUCGGGACAGUCACCUGUUUUUGAUGAUAGCAGUGAUGAAAAGAGAUUUGAAGUUUGGAAACCUUCAUCAGACCCCCUCUAUGUUCUUGGGAUAAAAUAUUUAACGCUGAAUGAUUCUGGCACUUACUACUGUGCCUAUUGGUUUUACCAAGGUGUCACAGCAUUAGAUCAGCAAAGAGAAGCCAUACAAAAAGGUCAUUUUGCACUCUGA